rnacentral:rRNA from 1 species
CGCCGCGGUAACACGUAGGGGGCGAGCGUUGUCCGGAAUUACUGGGCGUAAAGGGCGUGUAGGCGGCUAAGUAAGUCAGUUGUGAAACCUCUUGGCUCAACCAAGAGCUUGCAAUUGAAACUGCCUAGCUUGAGGGUAGGAGAGGAAAGUGGAAUUCCUAGUGUAGCGGUGAAAUGCGUAGAUAUUAGGAGGAACACCAGUGGCGAAGGCGACUUUCUGGCCUACCCCUGACGCUGAGGCGCGAAAGCGUGGGGAGCAAACAGGAUUAGAUACCCUGGUAGUCCACGCCGUAAACGAUGGGUACUAGGUGUAGGAGGUAUCGACCCCUUCUGUGCCGCAGCAAACGCAUUAAGUACCCCGCCUGGGGAGUACGUUCGCAAGAAUGAAACUCAAAGGAAUUGACGGGGGCCCGCACAAGCGGUGGAGCAUGUGGUUUAAUUCGACGCAACGCGAAGAACCUUACCGGGUCUUGACAUCCCCUGAAAAGCUAUGAAAGUAGAACUAGCCUUCGGGCACAGGGAGACAGGUGGUGCAUGGCC